rnacentral:rRNA from 1 species
CCUACGGGAGGCAGCAGUGGGGGAUAUUGCACAAUGGGGGAAACCCUGAUGCAGCGACGCCGCGUGUGGGAAGACGGUCCUCCGGAUUGUAAACCACUGUCCCCAGGGACGAGGAUGACGGUACCUGGGGAGGAAGCUCCGGCUAACUACGUGCCAGCAGCCGCGGCAAUACGUAGGGAGCGAGCGUUGUCCGGAAUUACUGGGUGUAAAGGGAGCGUAGGCGGGACUGCAAGUUGGGUGUCAAAUCUACCGGCUCAACCGGUAGCCGCACUCCAAACUGCUGUUCUUGAGUGAACGAGAGGCAGGCGGAAUUCGUGGUGUAGCGGUGAAAUGCAUAGAUAUUAGGAAGAACACCAGUGGCGAAGGCGGCCUGCUGGGCUUUUACUGACGCUGAGGCUCGAAAGUGUGGGGAGCGAACAGGAUUAGAUACCCGGGUAGUC